GGCGUGUGCUUAAAGCAGGGGCCUGAAGAGUGGCUCUUCUGUUUAUAAUACACCCAACAGGAAUCUGGGGGUCAUUGUGAUGAGGGCACAAAACCUGUGGCCUCCCUGUGAACAAAUUCCCUACCUGU